AGAGUUUGAUCCUGGCUCAGGAUGAACGCUGGCGGCGUGCUUAACACAUGCAAGUCGAACGAUGAUCCCCAGCUUGCUGGGGGGAUUAGUGGCGAACGGGUGAGUAACACGUGAGUAACCUGCCCUUGACUCUGGGAUAAGCCUGGGAAACUGGGUCUAAUACUGGAUACGACUCUUCACCGCAUGGUGGGGGGUGGAAAGCUUUUGUGGUUUUGGAUGGACUCGCGGCCUAUCAGCUUGUUGGUGGGGUAAUGGCCUACCAAGGCGACGACGGGUAGCCGGCCUGAGAGGGUGACCGGCCACACUGGGACUGAGACACGGCCCAGACUCCUACGGGAGACAGCAGUGGGGAAUAUUGCACAAUGGGCGAAAGCCUGAUGCAGCGACGCCGCGUGAGGGAUGACGGCCUUCGGGUUGUAAACCUCUUUCAGUAGGGAAGAAGCGCAAGUGACGGUACCUGCAGAAGAAGCGCCGGCUAACUACGUGCCAGCAGCCGCGGUAAUACGUAGGGCGCAAGCGUUGUCCGGAAAUUAUUGGGCGUAAAGAGCUCGUAGGCGGUUUGUCGCGUCUGCUGUGAAAGCCCGGGGCUCAACCCCGGGUCUGCAGUGGGUACGGGCAGACUAGAGUGCAGUAGGGGAGACUGGAAUUCCUGGUGUAGCGGUGAAAUGCGCAGAUAUCAGGAGGAACACCGAUGGCGAAGGCAGGUCUCUGGGCUGUUACUGACGCUGAGGAGCGAAAGCAUGGGGGAGCGAACAGGAUUAGAUACCCUGGUAGUCCAUGCCGUAAACGUUGGGCACUAGGUGUGGGGGACAUUCCACGUUUUCCGCGCCGUAGCUAACGCAUUAAGUGCCCCGCCUGGGGAGUACGGCCGCAAGGCUAAAACUCAAAGGAAUUGACGGGGGCCCGCACAAGCGGCGGAGCAUGCGGAUUAAUUCGAUGCAACGCGAAGAACCUUACCAAGGCUUGACAUUCACCGGGACCGCCUCAGAGAUGGGGGUUUCCCUUCGGGGCUGGUGGACAGGUGGUGCAUGGUUGUCGUCAGCUCGUGUCGUGAGAUGUUGGGUUAAGUCCCGCAACGAGCGCAACCCUCGUUCUAUGUUGCCAGCACGUGAUGGUGGGGACUCAUAGGAGACUGCCGGGGUCAACUCGGAGGAAGGUGGGGAUGACGUCAAAUCAUCAUGCCCCUUAUGUCUUGGGCUUCACGCAUGCUACAAUGGCCGGUACAAAGGGUUGCGAUACUGUGAGGUGGAGCUAAUCCCAAAAAGCCGGUCUCAGUUCGGAUUGAGGUCUGCAACUCGACCUCAUGAAGUCGGAGUCGCUAGUAAUCGCAGAUCAGCAACGCUGCGGUGAAUACGUUCCCGGGCCUUGUACACACCGCCCGUCAAGUCACGAAAGUUGGUAACACCCGAAGCCGGUGGCCUAACCCCUUUGUGGGAGGGAGCCGUCGAAGGUGGGACUGGCGAUUGGGACUAAGUCGUAACAAGGUAACC
rnacentral:rRNA from 1 species